CAUGAAGUCGGAAUUGCUAGUAAUGGCAGGUCAGCAUACUGCCGUGAAUACGUUCCCGGGCCUUGUACACACCGCCCGUCACACCAUGAGAGUUGGAAAUACCCGAAGCCUGUGAGCUAACUUUUAGAGGCAGCAGUCGAAGGUAGAGCCAAUGAUUGGGGUGAAGUCGUAACAAGGUAUC
rnacentral:rRNA from 1 species